GCAACGUGUUGGACCUUCCGGAGCUUCUCAGAAGACAGAGGGUUUUCUUUUGAGAUCCCUCCCGUAGCUGUCAUACAGAGUGCGAUUUAUGACUUGUAAGUUGUGCUAUGGAGCUUGACAAGUAAGUUUGAUUUCAUUUAAUAUUUUCUUUAAACCAUCUUAGAUCUUCUCUUUGACAAGUAUUUCAUCUGUUAGUGUUCUCAAAAUGUAAAAUGGGUAACUUAAUGAGAACAAAAAUUGUACCCUAAGACAUAUUUGCACUAUCUACAUAUUUGCAAUUAAAUCUUAACAGAUUUAAUUGUAAUAGAAUCUAAUGGUUUUCCUCUUGAAUUUUUUUAGACACCAGAAAUUUUCAUUACUAAUAAAUAAUGUUUAGCUUCCUAGUCACAAACCAAACAGAAAGCAAAUUUCAUCAGAGUUUAGAAUGGUUAAAACCAACAUAGCUGCAAUAUUUUUAGUUUUGCUUUAAAAUUUUUUGAAUCAAUCAGUAAAUCAAUCAGAGUUGACCAU
ensembl:lncRNA NUTM2B-AS1 NUTM2B antisense RNA 1